GAUAUAAUACAUUAGGUAGUAAUAAACCAAUAUAUAAUGGCGGUUCUUGAUUAUUAAAAAAACUCGCCCUAUAAUCGAAACCACUCGUUAAAUUUUACCAAAACCAACAGCCUAUAUACCGCCGCUAAAAGAAUUCUUAUUAAUUAAUCUUCUAACUUAUAAUAAAAUAAAAAUCAGGUCAAGGUGUAGCCUAUGUUUUGGAAGGGGUAAGCAAAAAUGAAUAAAUCAACAUAACUAAGACGUAAAUCAAAUUAAAAUAAAUUUAUACGUACAAAUAUAUCAAAAAUUUAUAUAGAAAUACCCCUCAAGAAUGC
rnacentral:rRNA from 1 species